UAUGGCCAGCUGCUAUUGGCUGGCUCAGCUUGCCUAUCAAGAAGGACCUGCUCUCCCAAUGGCGUGCGGCGCCUUAUGCUUGUCCAUCGCGUGUACGGAGAGACCGAAGCGAGCGAUGGUCAGGGCACAGCUGGAUUCCCCCCUGGGUCAAGGCGUCCAGUGUAACGUCUCUCUCUGUGGCUUUGACAUGUAACCAGGUCCAGUUGGAGAAGACGAAGCCAGACUGCACCUUAUGUCAUUACUAAGAAGUCAUCUUAUGGGACCUUGGUGGUGAACUAAAGAGGGAGGCAGGCCCAGCUUGGGAAGGCGACAAGAGGAAGUAUGCCAUUGCUUCCAUCAGUGUGGCAUCCCAAUGCUGUCAUCCCAGUCACUUCCUGAGGGCACUCAGUGUUUGGAUCCAGAUACAAACUAGGGCCACAAAACCCUCUCAUAAUUAAAUUAUGUAUGGUUUGUGUGGGUGUGUCCAAUGGUUGGCUAUUCAUGUGUUUAAAAAAGCCAACACUGGCCACUUUUUACUGAACAUGUGGCUCAAAUUCUGCAUUUAAAUUAAAUCAAAUUGUACUCAGAUACCAUUAAAACCUCAUUUUGUGAAUUAAA